AAUAAUAAAUCACUGAAUUAGUUCCAGGAUAAAGGAAUUUUACCUUUUCUCAUUAUUGUUUGCAACUUUCAAUAUUGGAGAGAUUUACUCGACACUGAACAACCAAUACAACUCUCAGUCCACGCGUUACCAGGCGUUUUUUAAUAAAAUAUUUAAAUAACAUCAUUGAGAUAUCCGAACAAACAAGCUACUGAAGUCUACUGUGAAACGCUGGAAAUAUAAAUUUCAAUUACACAAAUUCCAUGCCUUAGAGAAACUCAAGGUUCUUUUCUUCAGCAUGCACACCUCCCACUCAAGAUUUUAAGAAGGGACAAUCUCUUUCAGAAUUGGUUCAAAGUUUGACUGCUUCCAAAUUUAAAGACAAACUCCACCUCAGAUUAAACAAGAAUUUAUUCCAGCUUCAGAAAAGGAAUUACUGGCAGGGAAUAAGAAGCAAGUUGGGUCGUGUGUGUAAAUUCGUCUUGAGGGGAGUGGGACAGAAGGAUCAGUUUAAAAGGGGGGAAUCAGAAACCCAGUUUUGAAGAGAGAAGGGAAUGUAAACUAGCAGGGAAAAGAAUCAGAUAUGUUUACGGGUUUUCCACACAAUUUACUACACAGAGUUGUACCCCUUACAGAGCAUUUGAAAGACCUUUACAGGCCCUGGAUUUCUCUGCUGCAAAGACGCUUCAGCGGGCAGCGAUAGCUGCCUCCUCCGCGCCGCCCAGCAGCCACAGGAGAAGUGUGACAGCCCCAGAUCCCGGUUGCCUUAUAGAGGAAGCUGCCCUUGGACGCUGGAUGGGCGCGGUGGUAGGCCGGUUGGUCAGUCAGUCUACCGACCCAAGCGGUGACAACCACCGCAGACUUCAGUCAGAGGCCGAGCCAAGGAAGGGGUGAGCCUCCACCUUCACUUCAGUCAGCUAACUACCUCAGCUAUCACCUCAGCUCGGCCGAGCCAGAGCCGAAGAGAGAUCGGAGAAUCCAGGUCUCCGAGGGCAGCAGGUCACUCAUUAUGGGGAAGGUGGAUGCUGUGUCACUGCAGACAUUCGAGCAGCUUCACAGAGAGGUCCACAUGUGACAGCUUCUACCUGAAUGAUGCAUACAUCUGAGAACUGCUGCUGACUUCUUGAAGAUCCCUUGGAGGAGGAAAUGGCAACCCACUCCUGUAUUCUUGCCUGGAAAAUCCCAUGAACAGAGGAGCCUGGUGGGCUACAGUCCAAGGGGUUGUGAAGAGUAAGACACGACUGAGCACAUUCGCACACAGCACAGCUGGCUGACUUCUUAAAUCUCUUCUCACUCUUAGAUAAGGUGAGGCCAUUCAAAAUGAUAAUUCCCCUGUUUUCAAAGUAACAACUUCUAGUUUUGUUUUGUGUGUUUUUUUAAGAAGCACUCCCUAAUGGCUGAAAAUUGUUUCCUAUCCUUAUUAUCUAUAU